rnacentral:rRNA from 1 species
ACUCCUACGGGAGGCAGCAGUGGGGAAUUUUGGACAAUGGGCGAAAGCCUGAUCCAGCCAUGCCGCGUGCAGGAUGAAGGCCUUCGGGUUGUAAACUGCUUUUGUACGGAACGAAACGGCCUUUUCUAAUAAAGAGGGCUAAUGACGGUACCGUAAGAAUAAGCACCGGCUAACUACGUGCCAGCAGCCGCGGUAAUACGUAGGGUGCAAGCGUUAAUCGGAAUUACUGGGCGUAAAGCGUGCGCAGGCGGUUAUGUAAGACAGUUGUGAAAUCCCCGGGCUCAACCUGGGAACUGCAUCUGUGACUGCAUAGCUAGAGUACGGUAGAGGGGGAUGGAAUUCCGCGUGUAGCAGUGAAAUGCGUAGAUAUGCGGAGGAACACCGAUGGCGAAGGCAAUCCCCUGGACCUGUACUGACGCUCAUGCACGAAAGCGUGGGGAGCAAACAGGAUUAGAAACCCUGGUAGUCCCAUGA